GUAGGGUGCGAGCGUUAAUCGGAAUUACUGGGCGUAAAGCGUGCGCAGGCGGUCUGUUAAGACAGAUGUGAAAUCCCCGGGCUUAACCUGGGAACUGCAUUUGUGACUGGCAGGCUAGAGUAUGGCAGAGGGGGGUAGAAUUCCACGUGUAGCAGUGAAAUGCGUAGAGAUGUGGAGGAAUACCGAUGGCGAAGGCAGCCCCCUGGGCCAAUACUGACGCUCAUGCACGAAAGCGUGGGGAGCAAACAGGAUUAGAUACCCUGGUAGUCCACGCCCUAAACGAUGUCAACUAGUUGUUGGGGAUUCAUUUCCUUAGUAACGUAGCUAACGCGUGAAGUUGACCGCCUGGGGAGUACGGUCGCAAGAUUA
rnacentral:rRNA from 1 species